AUUGAACGCUGGCGGCAGGCCUAACACAUGCAAGUCGAGCGGAGCGGCGGAAGGGUGAGUAAUGCCUAGGAAACUGCCUGGUAGUUGGGGAUAAAGUCCGGAAACGGGAGCUAAUACCGCAUACUAUCAGAUGAGCCUAGGUCGGAUUAGCUAGUUGGUGGGGUAAAGGCCUACCAAGACGACGAUCCGUAACUGGUCUGAGAGGAUGAUCAGUAACAAUGGAACUGAGAAACGGUCCAGACUCCUACGGGAGGCAGCAGUGGGGAAUAUUGGACAAGGGGCGAAAGCCUGAUCCAGCCAUGCCGCGUGUGUGAAGAAGGUCUUCGGAUUGUAAAGCACUUUAAGUUGGGAGGCGUUACCAACAGAAUAAGCACCGGCUAACUUCGUGCCAGCAGCCGCGGUAAUUC
rnacentral:rRNA from 1 species